AUGCAGUCCUCAAACUCCUCCUCUCAGCCUUCAAAGCCACGACGUUUUGACUUCAUCAGACGGACCAAUACCUUAGCUGCACCAAAGUCUGCUGGCCCUGGUUUUCAGAGGGAGGAUAAAAACAUGAACACAAUCGGCAAAUCCUCCCCACGCCGGCCUACUAAAGGCCCCACUGCACCUGCCAGGACCAGGGUGGGAGUGCAGCCUCGAGCUCCAGUGAACCAGUCGAAGUUUGGUUCUCAAAAACAGGUUUCCACCAUCUCCAAAUCGGCUAAACCCAAACCCAAGAUUACUCGUGCAUCGGCAGCAACCAAAAUUGCACCUGCAGCGGCUGCUCCUCCUCCUCCUGCACUUCCAUCUGCUCUCCCUCUUGACCCAAAUUGCAACGAGCCAAGCCUCCCAUGUCUGUGCUGUGAUGGUCGCUCUCCACAGGACAACAACAGUAUGUUCAACCAUAACCACAACAACAACAACACCAUCUCUCUUAGACAGCAGCUACAGCUUCCUCCUCCUCCUCCAGCCCUGUUGCCCCAGAGGCAGGAUGGGACAGGGGCCAAGGAGCAGCCUCCAUCACAAGCACAGGCCCAGCUGGAGUCGUCUGCCUGCUCUGCUGCCAGUCUGGAGAACGAUGACAAGAAUGGAGAUGACAGCGCUGAUCUAGACAACAAGAAAAAUACAAAGGUAGAGGAAGAAGAUGAUGAGGAUGAGAGCAGUGGGGAUAUUGAUAUUGAUGAUGAUGAAGACGAGGCUGACAAUGAUGACGAUGAUGAUGAUGAUGAUGAUACUCUGGUCCCCUCAUGCUGCGACUGUCCCCCCUCCCUCCUUGAGUUCUCACUCUCCUCUUCUACCUCCUCAUCCUCUACUUCCAUCAGCUCCUGCUCUGAUCUGGAGUCUGACUGUGGUGAUCAAACAGCCUCCAUCUGCUCCUCCCAUGAUGAAGAUACUCUUUCUGUUGCUCUGACUCCCAAAGACCACUCUAUUCCACAACCCCUCGAAUGCCAGCCUCCUGCGCGUUCACCUCCAUCCCUUCCCCUUAGCCGCAAUCCCUUCUCCCUAACAUCACGUUCCCCGAUGUCGGCUUGCUCUCCAGAUGAAGGCUACCCCUCCGCCCUGGACUCCCCAUCUCCUGAUUAUUUAGGAGUGAAAGGUGAUUCUGAGGUCACUAAAAUAGGUUUGCUCGACUUUCUAGAAUCAGUUGGAGAGUUUGGGAAAAUGGAGCGCUUCAGCCAGGUGAUCCAAGUUGCUCGUUGGGAUCUGGAGGGGGAACAGCACUGGGACGUUCUAAGGGAUCGUUUGGAUCACCUUGAUCGCUUGGAGAAAGUGAACAGGGAGGUAAAACUGGCCUACAUCGCCAGACUCCAUGAGAAGGGUUUUGAUCUUGGAGAUCUGGAGGAGCAGGAUCUCUCAGAUGUCAUGGAUGAAAUGGGCAACAUCGACAUUCCCUGGAAGUUGUAUAAAAGCAAUGGGGAAACAAUGGCAGUCUCUCAGGAGUUCUCAGACGCAGGGGUUGACCUCACUGCUCCAUCAGAUUGCGAUGAUCCACUUGUUCCAGAUUCCCUCACCCCUUCCCCUGUCGAGCCACCACCUAGACCCCCCAAACCUCCUGCCCGUCAUGCCAGUGUGAGCUCUUACCUCCACACCUACAUCAAUAUUAGCAGGGAGACCACCUCCAUGGCCGUUUCCACCUCUCCUACAUUGUCUACUUUCUCCCCUAACUCAUCAUCCCCCACAUUCACCACUUUUAGGUGCGAAAAACCCCUACCUCCAUCUCCACCAUCAGUUCCUCCUCCCCCGGCCUCUAAACCAGUCCCUUACCUCACCCUCUAUACCACUCCUUCCCCCCCGAGAUCUAUCCCCACUCCUACUCCUCCCAUCCCUCCCCCUCGCAAACGCCACCUUGCCAGGAAGGAGGCACAGAGGCUAGCUGCUCUUAGAGCGGAACAGGAAAAGACCCCCCUGUCCCUCCCACCGCCUAUCACGCGGCCACCACCUCUUCCUCCUCCACCUUUUAUCUCAGUCUCCUCCUCAUCUCCCCCUGCCAUACCACCUCCUCCUGCUCUGCCUCCUCCCCCUUCCUUCCAUGCUCUGGAUGUAGAGAUUAGGAAGCUACUAAUGCUUGCAGGACUGACCCAAGCUGAACUCCUCAAACUCAGCCCAGAGCUUGGUGUCUGUGUUGGAGGGUUAGAUGAUGAGGCGGAUGGAGAUAAUCUUCCCCCAUGUAGAUCCGUGAAAUCACAAGAGUUCAGACUUAAAGACAGGGAGGAGGAGGAGGAAUGUGCCACUGAAUUCAUGGAAAGUGAUGGAUGCUGUAGCAGAGGCAAGUUAGAUGGAGAUCAAAGAGUGGAUGUAGAUGAAGAGAGCAAGAAGAAAGAGGAGAUCAAAGAGACACAAAGAACCACCUCAUUCACAGAGAUGGCAAGAAGAAGGAAGAGGAACAGUGGUCUGACGUCCAACCAUUACUACAGCACUGGACUUAGCAAUACAUAUGAAUCUAAAGCAAAGAACAAGAGCUUUGAGAAUUUCCAUUAUCCUGCUGAAAUACCAGAUUCACCUCCUCCUCCUCCCCCCCCUCGCCCCUUACCCCCAAUCCCACCGUCUUUGCCAUCCGUCAAAGUCAGCACUCUCCCUGCCCAUUCUGCACAGCCUGAGCGGUUUGAUUGGCUGAUAGCAUUCACACCUGAAUGUGACUCCCCACCACAACCUCCGCCCCUGGAAAUGAGAAAAUCUCAUAAAGAAACCCAAAAGAAGCUUGGUUCGCCUGGAUCAUCUCAAGGGACAGCUCCGAACGUCACAACUUUCAAAGAGCUGCGUUUACGCAACAAGAGCACCUACCUUGCAACAAAGUUGAUCACUGAUCCAGAGCCUGACCCCACAAUCAUCACUCCAGAUCCAGAUAUACUGUACAACCUGAAGUGGAGAAGGGAGACGGUCGGCAGUGAUGGCAGCCAGUGGGAAUACACCUCUCAGGCUCAGGCCCUGUUCAUGCAGCCGCCACCAGCUCUCACCUCAAUGGCUGCUCUGAAGGAAAUGCUACAGAGAGCUGACAAGGAGGGCGGACAACCGGAGCUGUGUCCAUCACAGAAGAUUGGCUGCUCAGUCAGUGAAAACAGCCUGUGGACCAUGGGCAGAGAGUGGGAGGGUGAGGAAGUUCAGAUGGAGGAAAAGGAAGGGAAGGAGGAAGAAAAAGAGGUAGAAGUGGAGGUGAGAGGACAAGCUGAUGGAGGAAGGACCCUGCAAGCAAGAACAACAGGUGAGUAUAUGAAUUUCAUGAUAACUCUAAUAAUGAUAAAGCCGGCAGGUGAAUUCAAUGACAAAGGGGCUUAG
ensembl:lncRNA